AUACGUAGGGGGCGAGCGUUGUCCGGAAUGAUUGGGCGUAAAGGGCGCGUAGGCGGCCCGGUAAGUCUGGAGUGAAAGUCCUGUUUUUAAGAUGGGAAUUGCUUUGGAUACUGUCGGGCUUGAGUGCAGGAGAGGUAAGAGGAAUUCCCAGUGUAGCGGUGAAAUGCGUAGAGAUUGGGAGGGACACCAGUGGCGAAGGCGACUUACUGGACUGUAACUGACGCUGAGGCGCGAAAGUGUGGGGAGCAAACAGGAUUAGAUACCCUGGUAGUCCACACUGUAAACGAUGAAUGCUAGGUGUAGGGGGUAUCGACCCCUUCUGUGCCGCAGUCAACACAAUAAGCAUUCCGCCUGGGGAGUACGGCCGCAAGGUUGAAACUCAAAGGAAUUGGCGGGG
rnacentral:rRNA from 1 species